AUGUGAUGACAGGGAAAGUUUUAUAGCGGCCAGAGGGGUUGAAAACUGGAGGUUAAAUCCUUACCCUCUGAGCAUAGAAGAGCGCACUACAUGGUUUAAGGAUAUGUUUUUUAUACAGUGGUGCGACUGGAGAGCUAUGCUGCAUAUGUUUAGCAAGGUUGACGACGCCAUCAAGAGAGAUAGACUCAACACUGCGUACGAGGGUAUUAGAAAACGCCUUGUUUUUGAUGAUUUUGCGACUUGCCCGAAGACUGGCUUGCCUUCUACCCUGUGCAAACCUAAAAUCAUAAGGCCGUCCGACAACUAAAUAAACCAAAUGAGCGAGACACGCAACCGUGGGACCUCACAGACUCCCCACCCCCAUCGCUGUUAAUCCAGACCCCACCAUCUCCUCCCCCCUCUCCACAGCUGCUGCUGCAGGAUCCUACAGGAUCGGGGCUGUUUGAGGAAACCAUUAUCGACAUCAAGCUUGCAACCCACCAUCUGCUGAUGUUGGCGCUAAACGAGUUUCUACAGGAUACAUGCUACGGAUGUCAAAUAUCUCACCCCAGUCAGGUGCAACACAGCUGCUUGCUCGAAUUGCCCGAGUAUUUCUUUGACAUCUACUAUGACGAUGUGAUGAUAAGGCUCAAGACAGACCGAUUCAUCCCCGCCAUACGCCUGUUUGUGCGCUCGUACACAGUCGAUGGGACUGGAACACAAUUCAGCAGGAUUGCAGAACACACCAUGACCGAACUGAGAUCAUCAGAACAUAUAGUAUGCGCAAUUAACGACAACAUUGUGCAGUUGCUAGAAGCAAGUCGUUAUGACCGACGUGCUAAACCAGCCAUGCUUCGCAUGAUUGGUAACUACUGGGCUGGGAGACACCUGGUUUAAUGUAUGCUGUUCAGUAUUCAUUGUCUGUGUGAAUGAAAUAAAAAGACGUGUUAA